GGAAUGUAGCUCAGUGGUAAAGCACUUGCUGAGUAAGCAUGAGGCCUGGGUUUGAUCCCCAGCACCA
rnacentral:tRNA from 1 species